GACGAACGCUGGCGGCGUGCUUAACACAUGCAAGUCGAACGGAAAGGCCCGCUUGCGGGUACUCGAGUGGCGAACGGGUGAGUAACACGUGGGCAACCUGCCCUCAGCUUCGGGAUAACACUUGGAAACAGGUGCUAAUACCGGAUAAUAACCUUUCAUCGCAUGGUGGUUGGUUCAAAGUUUUUCGGCUGAGGAUGGGCCCGCGGCCUAUCAGCUUGUUGGUGGGGUAAUGGCCUACCAAGGCGACGACGGGUAGCCGGCCUGAGAGGGUGACCGGCCACACGGGGACUGAGACACGGCCCGGUCUCCUACGGGAGGCAGCAGUGGGGAAUAUUGCGCAAUGGGCGGAAGCCUGACGCAGCGACGCCGCGUGAGGGAUGACGGCCUUCGGGUUGUAAACCUCUUUCAGCUCUGACGAAGCGCAAGCGACGGUAGGAGCAGAAGAAGCACCGGCCAACUACGUGCCAGCAGCCGCCGUAA
rnacentral:rRNA from 1 species